rnacentral:rRNA from 1 species
CAACUCGGCUGCAUGAAGCUGGAACCGCUAGUAAUCGCGGAUCAGAAUGCCGCGGUGAAUACGUUCCCGGGUCUUGUACACACCGCCCGUCACACCAUGGGAGUCGGGAAUGCCCGAAGUCAGUGACCCAACCGAAAGGGGGGAGCUGCCGAAGGCAGGCCUGGUAACUGGGGUGAAGUCGUAACAAGGUAUC